AUUGAACGCUGGCGGCAUGCUUUACACAUGCAAGUCGAACGGCAGCGCGGGCUUCGGCCUGGCGGCGAGUGGCGAACGGGUGAGUAAUACAUCGGAACGUGCCCAGUGGUGGGGGAUAGCGCGUCGAAAGCCGGAAUGAUACCGCAUACGACCUGAUGGUGAAAGGGGGGGGUCUUUGGACCUCGCGCUAUGGGAGCGGCCGAUGGCAGAUUGGCUAGUUGGUGGGGUAAAGGGCCACCAAGGCGACGAGCUGUAGCUGGUCUGAGAGGAUGACCGGCCACACUGGGACUGAGACACGGCCCAGACUCCUACGGGAGGCAGCAGUGGGGAAUUUUGGACAAUGGGCGAAAGCCUGAUCCAGCACUGCCGCGUGUGUGAUGAAGGCCUUCGGGUUGUAAAGCACUUUUGGCGGGAACGAAAAGGACUGUGCCAAUCCCACGGUUCGAUGACGGUACCCGCAGAAUAAGCACCGGCUAACUACGUG
rnacentral:rRNA from 1 species